UCCUCCCUCUUUCUUCGUGCUUAACACACGCAAGUCGAACGGAAAGGCCCUGCUUUUGUGGGGUGCUCGAGUGGCGAACGGGUGAGUAACACGUGAGUAACCUGCCCUUGACUUUGGGAUAACUUCAGGAAACUGGGGCUAAUACCGGAUAGGAGCUCCUGCUGCAUGGUGGGGGUUGGAAAGUUUCGGCGGUUGGGGAUGGACUCGCGGCUUAUCAGCUUGUUGGUGGGGUAGUGGCUUACCAAGGCUUUGCCGGGUAGCCGGCCUGAGAGGGUGACCGGCCACAUUGGGACUGAGAUACGGCCCAGACUCCUACGGGAGGCAGCAGUGGGGAAUAUUGCACAAUGGGCGGAAGCCUGAUGCAGCAACGCCGCGUGCGGGAUGACGGCCUUCGGGUUGUAAACCGCUUUCGCCUGUGACGAAGCGUGAGUGACGGUAAUGGGUAAAGAAGCACCGGCUAACUACGUG
rnacentral:rRNA from 1 species